CAGCCCUAUGUGGAUACAGAGCAGGAGAACUUCCCACUGCAGUCAUUCCAAUGCAGAUCCCUGCGGAAGAUGCCCUUUGGGAAGAUGGAUCCCAGCUGCACCAUUGGCUUCUAUGCAGGCGCUGGGACCGGGCUGGAUGCGCUCUGCAAGGACCUGAGCCGGGUCCUGGCCCCCCCCACAGCACCCGAGCGUUAUCCCCUCUUCACCCUGG